rnacentral:misc_RNA from 1 species
AGCAGCCGCGGUAAUUCCAGCUCCAAUAGCGUAUAUUAAAGUUGUUGCAGUUAAAAAGCUCGUAGUUGAACUUCGGGGUUUACUCAUUGGUCAGGCUUAAUUGUCUGUACUGGUGAGAUGAAUCUCUACCUUCUGAGGAACUUUCAUGCCAUUUAUUUGGUGUGGUUGGAAAUCAGGACUGUUACUUUGAAAAAAUUAGAGUGUUUAAAGCAGGCUAACGUCUGAAUACAUUAGCAUGGAAUAAUGAAAUAGGACGGAUUGAUUCUAUUUCGUUGGUUUCUAGGGUCACCGUAAUGAUUAAUAGGGAUAGUUGGGGGCAUUAGUAUUCAAUUGUCAGAGGUGAAAUUCUUGGAUUUAUUGAAGACUAACUACUGCGAAAGCAUUUGCCAAGGAUGUUUUCAUUAAUCAAGAACGAAAGUUAGGGGAUCGAAGACGAUCAGAUACCGUCGUAGUCUUAACCAUAAACUAUGCCGACUAGGAAUCAGACGAUGUUAAUUUUUU